UCAUUAUUUUAUACUUAUGGUUUUGUAAGGACGCCGCUUUGGCGCAACGAUUAUAGCUAUGGAUUGUACCUGUUGCGCUGGCGGUUGCGGGUUCGAUCCCCGCACAUGACAAACAUUUGUCU